rnacentral:rRNA from 1 species
UACGAAGGGGGCUAGCGUUGUUCGGAAUUACUGGGCGUAAAGAGCUCGUAGGCGGCUUGUCGCGUCGGAUGUGAAAGCCCCGGGGGCUUAACCCCCGGGUCUGCAUUCGAUACGGGCAGGCUAGAGUUCGGUAGGGGAGAUCGGAAUUCCUGGUGUAGCGGUGAAAUGCGCAGAUAUCAGGAGGAACACCGGUGGCGAAGGCGGAUCUCUGGGCCGAUACUGACGCUGAGGAGCGAAAGCGUGGGGAGCGAACAGG